ensembl:lncRNA SNHG11 small nucleolar RNA host gene 11
ACUAGAGAGAGCGUCUUGUGGCUGCGGCCUGCCCCUCAGCCUCCUCCGCGCGGUUACCCCUGUACCCGCCGCCAUCCGUCCUGGCGCUCCGGAUGAGUCAAUGAGGGGCAGGGCCCGAGGAGUGGUCUUCCCAAGAACCCCUGGUGGCCUCCCAAGGCCGGUGCUGUGUACCUCCUCCCCGACAAAAGGGGAAACUGAGGCCCCGAGGGGAGUGGGAAGAGCCGGCUGGACGUCAGGCCCAGCCGCUGGUGCAGUGGUCCGUCCCCUCUGCCGGGGUGGGCCCCUCGGGUUUCGCGUGUCCUCGGGAAAGAGACUGGCGGGCCUCGUGGGCUGUGCGGCUAUCCUGGAGACAGAUGACAGCUCUCCCUUGGAUGGCUUUGCUGGUUCCGCACCAGCCAGCGCCCCCAUUUUUCCUGCAGCACCCUGAUCUGCACUCCCUGAGGGGCUCCCACUGUCCGCGGUGUGAGGAUGUCCCUGGGUAAGUGGUGCUGGUCAUGAGCACUUUGGGGGACCCUUCAAAUUCCCUUCUGGGGGACCCCAGCGGAGGGCAUGGUCAUGAAUUCCGAGAACUGUAUGGCAAAGCCGGGUGCAGAGGAGAGCCUGGCUAAGUUCUUUCAUUCUCCUGAGCUUGACUUUCUGUAAUGUAGGGAAACUGCGAAAGCUCUGUAAGUGGGGAGAUCUUGCACGUUUUUCUUGCUUUUGAACCCAUGAUGUCUGGCUACUUGUAGAUACUCAAUAUUUGUGGGAUGAAUGAACAAUUUAAGCCUUUUUUUUUUUUAACCAGAAAUUGGUCUUCUGUGACUUUCUUGAUGGGGGCAGAUGAGAUCUUUGUACUGCAUUAAGUGGAUAGCGCUCAGGUCCUUUGGGCUUGGCGCUUUGGCAAUCUCCAGGCAGCUCACUUUGGCCUCUGUUCCUGGAUCCCCUUUGCUCUUUUCUGCGCCUGCAUUCGUAAGUGAUCACGGGCUGCCCGUGUCCUGGUCAUUGGUAGUGCAGGCAGAGGAAAUGCGGGAAAGGUUGCUGUGUUUGGAGGGUCCACAUCUUCACCCUCCUGUCCCAGGAGCUUUCCUACACUCCUCCUUCUCAAAGCUGCACACACCUGGGGCCUCCAGGGGAUUGGGGGCUGCCGUGUGUGUUAUAUCAUGAUUAGAGCUUUCACUUCCUGCUCCCUGCUGUUGGGAACCAGGCUGUGUGUGUUGCUUAAAUUCCCCUUGAUGACCAGCAGAGUCACUGCCACUCAGCCAUGGCACACUGCUGUAAACCUGGUUUUGAUCUCCUUUCAAUCUUUUGCUGAUUAACUACACAUUGAUCAGUGUUGGCCACCCUCACCCUGCCAUAGACCAUCCGCUGUCUUCCUCUGUAGAGUUAACUAUUUUCUCUUUUAUGAGGAAAUAGUGUGUUUGCUUAGGAGUGUUUACUGUCUGGUAACUACUGUGCUAAGCCCUUUCCUGUUGCCUGCCAUCCCUGCUGCGAGCAGGGACAAGCUGGGUGCUCACUCAUGGCAUCUUAUCUGUUGCAGAUAGUCCACUGUGUGCAGAGGCAUGGGAGUUGUCAUGUUGGGAACAUGCUAGACCUCAGUAUCCUUGAGGGAUGCUGCCUUGGGUCUGGAAACUGUUAGAGGAAACCCCAAGAGGUGCAGGCACUGAGCCUCUCAGGACAAUGACCUGGGGUCCCAGCUCCCCUGGAGGGGCCUCCUCAUGGUAAGUGAAUGCCAAGAGGUUAAGUUGGCCUGUGUUUCCGAGGUGGAAAUUCCAGGUCGCUGGCUUCAUUUGUCUUCUCUUUUAGAUUGUUUGGGGGUUGAUCACAGACCAAGAGUGACGAGUGAUGUCACCCUGUGACUCAUGGCUGGACCUUCUUGCCCCUAUUGUCUCAGCACAACAUUAUUCGACUUUUCCCUCAGCGUGGGUGGGCAGAGGAAAAGCCCUGUGGCUCUGGGGACUUGGGAUCCAGAGUUGAAGACCCUUCAGCUGGCUCUGCCCUGCCAGUGCCACAGAGUGCCAUGGCCCAGGAAGACAGGUUUUCUUCCAUCUAGGCCAGGCCAUCCAGUGGCCAUCCUCCGUGUCCUCCCGCCUCCUCCUGGUGUGACUUCUGAAAACCAAGAAUUUGUUCCUGUUGACUUUUUCUGUGCUAUGGACCAUUGUCCUCUCACCCACU